ensembl:lncRNA
GUUGCAAACAGGAAAAGAGGAAUACAAAAUGAAGCCAAACCUCACUCAUCAUGUCACAGCACGUCUUCACAUCUUGGAUCCAGACACUGCAGGAAAGAACAAGUCAAGGUACCUAACAUUUGCCAGUGCUUAAGCAGAGAGCAAAUGCAUUGGAAAAUGAGCUGCUGCUUCUCUUAAGGACGCGAUUCAGGAGCAACACCAAAUGCAGGACCAGCAGAACGAACGAGGAAUUGUCCUGCUUUGUUUGGAAGCCGGGCACCAGAGAGCAGCAGCUCCCAGGAGUUGAGGAGCUGCCGAGCAGCAGAGCAGCGCUUGCAGUGGGGCAGCUAACUUCACAGAGUCAG